CUUUCCAACCCCGCCCAUCCCAACUAUGGGGACUAUGCUCAACAUGGUAUUGCCAUUUUCGGAUUCACCAGUCAAUAGUUCUACUAUCUCCGCUUCUUCCGUCUCCCUACCAAAAAACCGACUCUCCGGCAGAGAAGUGCUAGGAAGCCUUUUUUCGGUGUUGUCAGAUCUGUUCACAGCAUUCUCUGUCAAGCCUAGAAAUUUU